rnacentral:lncRNA from 10 species
AUAGAUUGACCUAGAAUAAAUGUUCUCACAUAAAUUCAUACCAAUUGCACAACAGUAUGGUUUAGAAAUCUUGAAAGCGUAUUUUAAAGCCCCAAAAUUACCUAAGAGGAAUUGAAAGGCUUCAAGCUCCUAAUACUCAGCAUAUGAGUGAGGAAAUGAUAGGACAAACCUGCAAAAGAAACUGUACUUCUGCAAAGGGGGCAGCCAGAAGGAAACGGAUCCCCUACUUCCAGAGAAAGAAAAGCUGACUGAUUUUCGUCUUCCUUUGCUCCCACAGAGCCUCACUCUAUGGAUUUUCCCAGACUGAUUCCUUAUGUGGCAUCUUGGCUAUAAUCAGUCUUGAGACAGGCCACCAAACAAAAAGCUUUUGAUUGCCAGUUUUCGCCACCUGCUGGUUGUUUCACAGCGUUACUCUCUUCAUCCAUCCAAGAAAGUUCUUUCAUCCAUCAUCAAUAUAAAUAUUCUCCAAGUUUAUGAAAUUCAAAAGAUGCCUACUGCUCUCGUUGGACUGAAACUGCAGUGAUAGAACCAAACAAGCAGCUGCACAACGCAACUCGAUAUAAUCUGCAAACUUUGGCUCUGUAAGACUGAAAGAUU